rnacentral:rRNA from 5 species
AUAACGACUCUCGGCAACGGAUAUCUAGGCUCUCGCAUCGAUGAAGGACGUAGCGAAAUGCGAUACUUGGUGUGAAUUGCAGAAUCCCGUGAAUCAUCGAGUUUUUGAACGCAAGUUGCGCCCGAAGCCAUUAGGCUGAGGGCACGUCUGCCUGGGCGUCACGC